rnacentral:rRNA from 1 species
AUUGAACGCUGGCGGCAGGCCUAACACAUGCAAGUCGAGCGGUAGAGAGAAGCUUGCUUCUCUUGAGAGCGGCGGACGGGUGAGUAAUGCCUAGGAAUCUGCCUGGUAGUGGGGGAUAACGUUCGGAAACGGACGCUAAUACCGCAUACGUCCUACGGGAGAAAGCAGGGGACCUUCGGGCCUUGCGCUAUCAGAUGAGCCUAGGUCGGAUUAGCUAGUUGGUGAGGUAAUGGCUCACCAAGGCGACGAUCCGUAACUGGUCUGAGAGGAUGAUCAGUCACACUGGAACUGAGACACGGUCCAGACUCCUACGGGAGGCAGCAGUGGGGAAUAUUGGACAAUGGGCGAAAGCCUGAUCCAGCCAUGCCGCGUGUGUGAAGAAGGUCUUCGGAUUGUAAAGCACUUUAAGUUGGGAGGAAGGGCAGUAAAUUAAUACUUUGCUGUUUUGACGUUACCGACAGAAUAAGCACCGGCUAACUCUGUGCCAGCAGCCGCGGUAAUACAGAGGGUGCAAGCGUUAAUCGGAAUUACUGGGCGUAAAGCGCGCGUAGGUGGUUUGUUAAGUUGGAUGUGAAAUCCCCGGGCUCAACCUGGGAACUGCAUUCAAAACUGACUGACUAGAGUAUGGUAGAGGGUGGUGGAAUUUCCUGUGUAGCGGUGAAAUGCGUAGAUAUAGGAAGGAACACCAGUGGCGAAGGCGACCACCUGGACUAAUACUGACACUGAGGUGCGAAAGCGUGGGGGGCAAACAGGAUUAGAUACCCUGGUAGUCCACGCCGUAAACGAUGUCAACUAGCCGUUGGAAGCCUUGAGCUUUUAGUGGCGCAGCUAACGCAUUAAGUUGACCGCCUGGGGAGUACGGCCGCAAGGUUAAAACUCAAAUGAAUUGACGGGGGCCCGCACAAGCGGUGGAGCAUGUGGUUUAAUUCGAAGCAACGCGAAGAACCUUACCAGGCCUUGACAUCCAAUGAACUUUCUAGAGAUAGAUUGGUGCCUUCGGGAACAUUGAGACAGGUGCUGCAUGGCUGUCGUCAGCUCGUGUCGUGAGAUGUUGGGUUAAGUCCCGUAACGAGCGCAACCCUUGUCCUUAGUUACCAGCACGUCAUGGUGGGCACUCUAAGGAGACUGCCGGUGACAAACCGGAGGAAGGUGGGGAUGACGUCAAGUCAUCAUGGCCCUUACGGCCUGGGCUACACACGUGCUACAAUGGUCGGUACAGAGGGUUGCCAAGCCGCGAGGUGGAGCUAAUCCCACAAAACCGAUCGUAGUCCGGAUCGCAGUCUGCAACUCGACUGCGUGAAGUCGGAAUCGCUAGUAAUCGCGAAUCAGAAUGUCGCGGUGAAUACGUUCCCGGGCCU